GACGAACGCUGGCGGCGUGCUUAACACAUGCAAGUCGAGCGGUAAGGCCCUUUCGGGGGUACACGAGCGGCGAACGGGUGAGUAACACGUGGGUGACCUGCCCUCAGCUCUGGGAUAAGCCUGGGAAACCGGGUCUAAUACUGGAUAUGACUCCAUGACGCAUGUUGUGGGGUGGAAAGCCUUGUGCGGCUGAGGAUGGGCCCGCGGCCUAUCAGCUUGUUGGUGGGGUGAGGCCUACCAAGGCGACGACGGGUAGCCGGCCUGAGAGGGCGACCGGCCACACUGGGACUGAGACACGGCCCAGACUCCUACGGGAAGCAGCAGUGGGGAAUCUUGCGCAAUGGGCGAAAGCCUGACGCAGCGACGCCGCGUGAGGGAUGACGGCCUCGGUUGUAACC
rnacentral:rRNA from 1 species